CUAGUUUCGGCAGUACAUAUUCUAAAAGUGGAACGAUACAGAGAUGAAUAGCAUGGUCCUUGCACAAGAAUGAUUCGCAUGAAGCGUUUCAUAUUUUU
rnacentral:snRNA from 1 species